rnacentral:tRNA from 1 species
GCUUGCCUAGCUCAGUUGGUAGAGCGCUAGACCUUUAAUCUAGUGGUCUCGGGUUCGAUCCCCGAGGUGAGUA